GAGAGUAAUUUUACUGGAAUAGGGAAGCUAGGGUUAGGUUUUUUUUUUUUUUUUUUCCAAAUUGGAGCAGCCAAGAACCCUCUAUGAAUUGUUUAGUUGCCUAGGAGAGAAAACCCUAAUUCCUAUGGGCUGCUAGGGACCCAACUGAUGGAACCCUUGCCCAACUAAACCCUGAAACAUAGGGUUUCAGUAAUUUUAAUAGCCCAGAUAUGAAUUGGGGCUGAAUCAUGAUCUACCAAGGGAAAGUUUACAAUAUACCUUAAAGUAGAGUUUUAAUUGAUGAUGGAAUUGGGUCUCUUUAAUAGGAUUUUAUAAACCUCUUUGCAUAGGAAUUGUGUUCAAGCGAAAAUUGAUAGAAAUUAUUGUUCCUGAUUUAGACCUGGCCCCAAUUAAGAAGAUACAAGGGGGAAAGAAACUCAAUUCUGCUGAACUCCUUAAUUCUAGGUUAUAUUCUGAAAUUCUGCAGAAUUCAAUUUCACAAUUUUGAAGCUUAAUAAUUUGAGCCCAUACAUGGGUCAGUAGAAGGCCUAAAUCAAGGACUUAAGUCUGCUAUGACCAAUUCGGACUUCAGGUAGGGGGUUAGGACCUAAAUCACCAUGACAGAGAAAAACAAAGACUCAGUAGAAUUGAGUUCUAUAAAAUUUGGGGUAACCGGUGGGAGACAACUGGCCAGCUGGUUGUCCCUCCUGUCUCCAACCGGUUAGACUUCUAGAAGCUUAUCAGGCUACUGUUUUGACCUUUGACUCCUCAAGCAUAUUGAAGACCUAUAAUACACAUGUAAAGGGGAUAAUAUGACCCUAAAUGAUGAUGGCCUUAAUAUUCAUUUCAAUUCCAGGAAAUUACAGAAAUAAGUGGAAUGUACCUAGAUCAAAAAUUGGUAAGAAAGGUUGGGAAUAGGGGUAACCCCAUUUAAUCUAAACAAAAAUUAGGAUUUUAAUUAUAUAAUUGAUAAAUUGAAGUAUGUUAUGGAAUAGGGAAUCUGAUUUGUUGUGUGGAAACCUACCCAAUCUAGAAGGGAGAUUUACAACCUUGGACACCAAAGGUGAGAGGGUGCCCUGAUCUUUAUGGAGUGUUUCUUUUAUUUUAUUUUAUGCAUGUAUUCUUGCACUCAUGCAUAAUGAUGUGUGCAUUAUACUCAUCCUUUUGGUAAUUCCUUUCAUGGUGGACUCGAGUUGGAAAAGGUAAGACUGGUAAGAUGGGUCACUAGCAGGUGCCCAAAGAUUGGUGUAGAAACACUGGUUUAGGUAUCACCAUCCUAAGUGCUACAACCCCCUGUCAGUGGGGGGAUUGGUACUGACUAAUCCCAAUAUUAUUGGUUGCCUGAUCACAGUACACUUUCAUUUGUAUGACGUACUAUACUUUGAGAUGGAUGAUAGCAAGAUGUGACGUACUGUAUGCCUGACUACCCGGGGUUACUAAGAUAGGCGUUAGCUGGGGGACCGAGGCUCUGACUGGGACUGGCUGACUCCUGCCUACUACGAGCUUGUAUUGAGGCCCAAUGUACAAGAUGCCGAGGCCAGUAUUCUAUUGACUUCCAUCCUUAAUUAUGAGACAGUGGCCAUGGAUCACCUGGCUUAUUUUUCAGAGGAUGAAGCCUAACAUGGAACCGACUAUGACUAUGACGACUAUGCCUACGGGGGCCAGUAUUUCUGAGGAGUAGAUUGACUUAUGACGAGAUCAGUAUUUUACCGACUACCUGCUCUGAUCAUAAGACAGUGGCCUUGGAUCAGUUGGCCCAUCUUCCAGAGGAUGAAACCAACCAUGGACCCGACUGUGGAUGUGACGAUUGUUCCUACAGAGUAAGAAGAAAAAGAAAGAAAAGAGACGAAGAAGAAGAAAAGAGAAGGAGGAAGAGGAAGAAAGAGGAGGAGAGAGAUAACUCAACUCAAGUUGCUAUUGGAUCGAGUCUGUACCCAGGUGUCUCCGGAGGCCUAUGCUGAUAUUAUGCAAAUGCACCAGGGCCUUUGUGAUGUAGUGCUCCUUAAGGAUGGGGAGAAUGUGUCCUUGAGAGAACAAGGUAGUUCUCAGCAGGAAGUGAUUGCUCGGCAGGCUAUUCAAAUUCGAAACCUCACCAUGAGAAUGGUGAAUCGUGGUUGGAACCUAAUGAUCCUUCAAUGUUCCCAAUAGAUGACCCGAAGUAUGGCAUCGAUGAGGGUGCUGACUCCUAGAGACCUGUUCUUGUUAUUCCUGCAAAACACAGAUGUUGCUUUUUUCUUUUUCUUUUUCCUUUUCCCUCCCCAUGUUCAUUCAUCAUUUUUUUUUUUUUUACCUUUUGUAUUUCUAGGCUUGGAAUUUUAUUUUUGGAAUGGAAAUCUAUCUUUUGCAUAAAUAAAAUCUCUUUUUUUCAUGAAUUAGAAUUUUAAGGCAUAAUUAAUUUCAAGUCUUCAUUAGAAUAACUCAAAAAUCCAAAUAUCACCUCACUUUACUACCAAGUGAAUUACACAAAAAUGGAAAUAGCUUUCCCACCAAAGACAGGAUAGGUAGGGUGCAAUGUGGGAAGACAGUUCUUGGGGUGGGUAGAAGUUCACCAACUCCUCCAGGCCCUCUACUUCCAGUCCAUACUAUUGUCUGAUGUAAGUGGGCAAGUAAAAGGAUGUAUGUGUCAAUCCUAUCAACCUGAUGUAGUUGCAUCUAGGGGUCUUUAUUAGAAAAUCAUCUUAUGACCACCCCGGGCAUCUCCAUGCAAUAUGUUGUGUAGUUCUUCCUUAUAAGUACUCCUCCCAAUCAACAAUGAGCUUGAAUUCCGGGAUUUCCAUCUUGUCUUGGUAGCAAAGAA